rfam:Citrus clementina cultivar Clemenules unplaced genomic scaffold scaffold_6, whole genome shotgun sequence.
GUAAAUGUAGCCAAGUGGAUCAAGGCAAUGGAUUGUGAAUCCACCAUGUGCGGACUCAACUCCUGUCGUUUGCC